ensembl:lncRNA
GUUUUGUUCUUUCUUCUGUCUUUUCCGGUGGUGUGUUAGGGAGGAGACUGUGGACACCUGCUUAUACUUUCUCUGGUUACUCUGUGUCAGUUGUCAGGGCGGAUGGGUGGAGACCUUUCAUGUCCACGAACCUUCCAUAAAGCCUCUGUCUCUGGUCACAUCUUGCUUGUCUGCAGAGCAAGCCUGAGGCUUUCAGGGCUGGGUUCCGAGUCAUCCACGCUCAGCUCGGCUUCCCUGGCAACCCACUUCUGUUUACUCCUCAUCUUUCAGAGAUGUAUUGGCAAUCUCUUAUCUACGGCUGAACUUCCAUUCCCUUCAUAAACUUUACAGAUUUGUCAGUAAGCCUAUUACCAGCAGGAUGGUGGGUUUCAAAGGUGAGAGCUGCUUCCUUCUUAACUGAACGAGGAGUAACAUUGGAUGGAGACCCAAGAACAUUCUACCAGUAGAUCCAGAAAGGCAACCCAUGGGGA